GGGAGAGCGGCGCUUUGGGGCAGGCAGGGGAGGGGGCCCAGUCUGGGUGUGCUCAGGCCGAGGGGGCGGGCGCUGCAGACACAGCUCCGCUCCUCGGUUACACGGAGCGGUGGCCACGGGGACCUGGUGCCUCGUAAAGGGCUAGGAAGGAGAGCAACGAGCGGCCGGAUAAAUACGGGGGAGGAGAGGGGCGUCUCCUCCGCUUCCCACCCCUCCCAUCUCCCCCGCCGCGCAGGGCGCGCUUGGAGCUCCCUCGGCUUGUUCGGGCGCCCGGAGCGGCUCCGCGCCCUGGUGCGGUGAGCGCAGGCUGGGUAUGGGAGGCUGCUGCUGAAGGUGAAGCUCUCGCUCUCCAAUUACUUUUCCCAAGAGGGAGAAGGAGGCUGCAGGAGGGGGAAGUCGUGCUGUGUGUGGACCGCAACACCAAUCAGAGAUGCUCUAACGGAGGGACUGCUGCAGGACGCGCCGGCUUCUCCUCCUUCCUAUGCCGGCGGGGCUCAAUCGGGACGGCGUGCAGCUGGCGAAGGGGCCGGAGGCACACCGGGCUGCAGGACUUCCUCAUCCUCCGCUUUUUCAAUAGCUCAAAUACUUCGUCCUCUUUUCAUUUUUCUUUUUUUUUUUUUUUUUAAUACUCUGACAUCGUGCACGAGAAACACUUCAAGUCCUCCCUCUCCUGUCAGUUCCUUCACCCUUCCUCUAGCAUCUCUAGCCGGAUUUCUGGUGUAUUGCCAGAGAGGCGGGGGUAGACCCGGGCCCCGCGGGCGGCCGCUGCCCCAGCCCGGCCGAGCGGAGGGGAGCGGAGCCGAGCGGAGCGGGCACGGCGCCGCUCCGUGCCCCCGGGCGCUGGCGGGGCGCGGGGCGUGUGCCGGAGAUGCCCGGGCGGUAAAGCUGGAGCUCCCCCCGAACGGGAGGCGGCCGAUCAUUAGGCGUUUCUAGCAAGAAUCGGGACUGCAGAUACUGGGAGUUCAGGUGCCAUGUCUGGGGUUCUGGCUUACUUUGUUACAGCUCUUUUGGAAAACAAGACAACAUAAUGAUGAAUAAGAGAUACUUACAGAAAGCAACAAAAGGAAAACUGCUAAUAAUAAUAUUUGUUGUAACCCUGUGGGGGAAAUUAGCUUCUGGGGCAAAUCAUCAUAAAGCUCAUCAUGUUAAAACUGGGACCUGUGAAGUGGUGGCACUUCACAGAUGUUGCAAUAAGAACAAGAUAGAAGAAAGAUCACAGACGGUGAAGUGCUCCUGCUUCCCCGGGCAGGUAGCAGGUACCACCCGGGCAGCUCCUUCUUGUGUCGAUGCUUCAAUCGUGGAGCAGAAAUGGUGGUGCCACAUGCAACCAUGUCUUGAAGGGGAGGAAUGUAAAGUUCUUCCAGAUCGUAAGGGGUGGAGCUGUUCCUCUGGGAAUAAAGUGAAAACAACUAGGUUGUCUUAUAUUCCCUCAGCUGUGGCAGUAUUCGUGGAGCCAAAUGUGAAUCCACUACCUCAAAAUGCCAGCAACGGAAACUGGUAAGCAAGUGGGGAAAAAUCACCAGAGGAAUCUCUGAAGCUUGGGACAAAGGCAGAAAACACAUCAAUACUGCACUAACAGAGCAGCAGGUACCCUUAUAUAGAAGAUAAAAUUACAGGUAAGGAAAUAAUUUACAUUUCUAUUUUGAUCUUCUCCACAUAGCUCCACUCAAGAUCCUAGGAAAAAAUACCCACAGCAUAAACAUUUGAGGAAGUAAAAGAUUUUAGACAUGAUUAAUUUAGACUGCCUGAGUUUUUUAGUGGGGAUAAUGUGAAGUUCAAUCUUACCCAAUUUAUGGGGAAAUACAUUAAAAGAUGAAAAUCCUUUGUACUUGGAAGGCAAUUUUAAACCUCAAUCUACUUUUAAAACGACUAGUUUUGUAUUUCUUUUUAAUUUGUUUUGCUUUAUCAUAUUUAGAAUAUAAGCACAGUUUGUUAUAGAUUUUCCUUUCCAAACAAAAACAAGUCUAGGUUUUUUUGUAGGUAAGUGCAGUCAGAUAAAGCCAAAACCGGAUGGACUCUUUUCCAAUCCCUCCAUCUCCUUUUACUUUCUUACUGUUGAAAGAGGAGCAUGACCCUUUAUUAUGCUUCAGUUUCCUCAUAUGGAGAAAGGAAGGAGGUUGUUUUAUCUCCCACUUGGGAUAAUGAGGUAGAAUAAGUAGUAUAGAAGUAAAUUUCAUUUAUUUAAUUAAUUGUCUUACAGUCUUUUAUGCCGCCAUGCUGCAGUCCCUCUAUGGAGUUGCGAUCACUGCAAAAACCUCAAGAGGAUAUAUCCUUGUCUGAAUUGCUACAGUUAUUAUCUGUUACAGAAAGUAAAAUAAGGCAAACGUGUAAAACUGCUCAAGUCCGAAUGGAGAAGUAGAGAAAGGAGGUUUCUGCUGUGCCUGAUGACAAUAUUUGUUUUUUCCACACAAAAAAUACUUGGCUCCAUGUUGGAGCACUAGUUGUGAUGAAUCCUAGUCUUGGUCGGAUUCUAAGGAAGGGCCAGAACGUUCGUUGAGGAAUAAAGAGUCAAACCACUCCAGAAAAUGUGUUCCAGCCCUCGUUUAUUACUCACAGAGCAGCAGGUAACCCGAUAGCUAAAGACAAAUCAAGUCAGUCUCAAGGCUGAUAACAUUAAAUACAACACGUGGGAAUGUCAUUCCUCCAGGCAAUCCUUGAAGUGAAAUUUUAUACUACUGGGGUGUAUCCUUCAGAAUCAAUUGUUUCAAUGAGAACCUGGUUUGUAAUCAUCAGCAGCCUUGAGAUCAAAACUACUGGAAAGUCUUUUUGAACUUCCGUGUCACAAAGAUUUCAUCUGAUUGAACUGUGUACACUUGUAAAAUUGUACUUGCUAAGGAAUUUGCAGCUGUAAUCACACGCUGAUACUUUAAAGGUGCAGAAAAGCAGCAAACUGUUGGGUUCUCCGUUGCAGACCAGUGGCUUUUCAUCUUUAUGAAGUCAACCUCCAAAAUGUAUUGGAUUCUUCCCUCUAAAAUGAUCCCUGGUCCAUUUUCAGAUUGCUGGUGGGACUGCACACUGCUUUAAUUAAAUUUCUAUUGCAGAAAUGGUCCUCUGGCAUGGCAGUUUUAGACAUUUUUAUUUGUGUUCUAAUCUUGCAGCUCUGAAAGGUACAUAUUUCAACAUCUUGAAGUUGCUUUUGUUAUAGGAAUGGAAUUAUAUAUCCAUUGUUAAUAAUUAUUGUUGACAAGUAAUAGUUAUCUGAAUAUACCAGUCAUAUUAGAUUGCAUAGUCAGGUUGACAUGUUUCCCUAAGGCUAACCAACAACUGCAGCUUAACAGUUAAAAAAAGUAGUGGUCAAAACUCAAUUACCACCUCCAUUAUAAAGCAUUUUAUACCUAAAAGAUAAACAUUUGCAUUUAAUUUGAAGGAGAUGGGUGUUCCUGAUAUGUACUUUACUUUCCUAACCUUUAAUUCAUUUAAGUUCAUGGUAAUCAGUCAAUGACAGUAUUUCAUCUCUUUUUUGUAAAGGUAGGCAGGGAUGUAAAUGAGUUUUACAAUUAUGAAAUUGGAUGGUAAUCAUUCAGAAAUUUUGGCUUUUUAUUAAAAAAUAAAAUCUCUUGCUUGAACCUAAGUACUGAUGGUUGCUUAUGUAGAUGUCUGUUCAGUCUGUUUGCUAUAAAUGAAAAAAGGUCUUAGUACCCUCCCAGAUUUACACUUCAUGAGUAUUUUGCUUGCUUACAGUCAUCCAAUUCAGAUCUGAUCUUUUCCAAAAUUUCUUUACUUUUUUUUUUUUUUUUUGUAGCAAUUUUUGAACUUUGUAAUGUGCUGUUACAUGAAAAAAAUCCUCAAUAUUUAAAGGCCUUAAGCAUCUCUGAGCUUUUUCCUAAGUUAUUACAGAAUGUAUAAUUUUAUACUCCAUUUAAUAUAUAUUGUACCAUCUGUACUGUUGAUAUAACAGAAACUUGGCAGUUCCUUUUAGGAACUCUGCAUAAACAAGCUGACCAGAGAGGGUAAGGGAAUUUUGACUUUAUGCUUUGGUGAAUUAAAAUGAAAGCCACACACACAGUGGUAGUAAAAAAUACAUAGGGGUAAGCUUAUGUGUGGUUACCAGACUUGCAAAAACAAACAAACAAUCGAACAACAACACAAAACAGAAGCGGGAAAAUAUUUUAUCAUUAUAAGCCAUUGACAUGGCUAGUUUAGUUAUAUAUUAGGUUCCAUGAUACAUGAAAACCCUGGAGUGCUCCGCCUGUCACAGUAGCCCCUGCUGUUCCAAAACCAUUUCAUUACCUCUGCUGUAUUACUGCACAGGAGAGCUUAAAUAAAAUAAAUGACUGUUGGGAAUAAAAUUGAGAAGUAUAUUCUAUCAUUCUGCUGAGAAGUAAUAAAAAAUUGUUAGCAGGAAAAAAUCUUAUUUUCUGAUUAAAAUUUAAUUAGAAUAAACUGUAGCAGCAGCUAGGUAUAUCAGUAUUUUAGAAUGGGUUAGUAUUGUAUGGAUUUGUGCUAACAAGUUCUGGACAGAAGGUAGCAUCUUUAAGAGAUUGUCUGGGACAGUGCAAAAUAUAAAUGUGCUGUUUUGUAGACUUUGAAUAUGGCCUCUCUUUGGCCAAAAAUCUAUAUCAUGCUUCUAAAUAUAUGUUUUCUUUGUUUCCUUGUUCUUAAACCAACGCUGAAAGUACUGUAUUAUAUACAAGUGUAACAAAUGCAUAUCAAUAAAUAAAAAUAAAUGGAUUUUCAAAUA